rnacentral:rRNA from 1 species
UACGGAGGAUGCAAGCGUUAUCCGGAAUGAUUGGGCGUAAAGCGUCCGCAGGUGGCUAUGUAAGUCUGCUGUUAAAGAGUGAGGCUCAACCUCAUAGAGGCAGUGGAAACUACAUGGCUAGAGUGCGUUCGGGGCAGAGGGAAUUCCUGGUGUAGCGGUGAAAUGCGUAGAGAUCAGGAAGAACACCGGUGGCGAAAGCGCUCUACUGGACGACAACUGACACUCAGGGACGAAAGCUAGGGGAGCGAAUGGG